UUUGAGACUCUUUGAUAAAGGAUUUAUUUGCAUUCCAUCUGUAGCUUAGGAAAAUAUCAUCUCUGCUCAACCUCCUUCCAUCUUACCCUGCGUCUGUUCCCUCAGUUCCCUCUCUCGCAGAGCUUGCUCCGAAUGGCAGAGGAUGAGGAUGCCAAUGCUCGCCUUCAUUCGCUCUGCAAGAGAUCAGGUAAGUUUUGGUCGGUAAUGGAUGGAGAUGUUUCUGGGGAUAUAUUAAAGGAACUCCGUCUCACUCUCCUUGGGAGACUGUUCUCAAACCCAUCCGUGAAUUUCCACGCCUUUGUGAAUACGAUGAAAAGAGCCUGGAGAGUUGAAGAUGUAGUUUCUGCCGACCUGGGUUCUGGCCUUUUUGCAUUUACGUUCAAUUCUGAAGGAGACAGAUAGAGAGUUUUAGAAUGUGGUCCAUGGUCUUUUGCGAAUCACCUCGUGUUGCUUAAAUCGUGGGAACCCAAUACAGCUCCUCAUCGUUAUGAAUUUGCAACUUGUGCCUUUUGGGUUCAAAUUUGUGGAUUGCCCCUUGAAUAUUACUGUGUGGAUGUUGUGAACAAACUUGCUCAGGGGAUUGGGAAGGUUUUAGAUGCGAAAGUGGAAAGGAAUGGAUUUAUAUCAGCAAGAGCGAAAGUAGAGAUGAACCUGGAUGCUCCUUUAAAAUCUGGUAUCGUUGCUAGUGGUGGAGGUACGAAGCUUUGGCUUGAUUUUAAAUACGAAAGGCUGCCGCAUUUUUGCUGUUCAUGUGGUAAGCCAGGUCAUUAUGCCAAGUAUUGCACAGAGAUCCCUUAUGAAGAAGGCAAUUUAAUUCCAGAAAGUGACAUUUAUUUUGGGAAAUGGCUACGGGCAGAGGUUGAUGAAUAUAGCCCUUUCUGGAAGGUCUUUUAUGCAGCAAAGAUCGAAGAAGAUUUAUAGUUCUAGAUUCUCCACUCAACAACAAUCAAAUUGUGUUUUUUGUGGAAGGAACUUCUGGCCCUGAUAACCUGCAGAUAACCAUUAUGGAGAAUAAAGCAGAAGUCUCUGAAAUUAGAGGAGAAAACCUUUUGAAGUCGGACCCAAGCUAGACUGUCGUUGGGUGAAAUUUCCAUCCCUGCAAAAUCUCAUUGCGUUUCUAUUGUUUUUAUCCAAUACAGAAAGCUCAAACGAAGAGUAGGAAGUUUGCUGCAGAUGUCUAGACAAAAAGACAUUGAAACGAACCAAAAUCUUCAUGAUUCCAAAGUCUCGGACUUGUGCAACAAGGUCCUCGUUUAGAAGGACAUUGCUAGGCUUCAGAUCACAGUGCACAAUGUGUUCCAGUUGGCCAUGGUGGAGAUAUUCGAGUGCCUUUGCAACAUCGACCGUUAUACUCACUCGCUGAUGGAGACCCAAGUUGUAGUCGACCGUUAGGCACGUAUUGCAGCACCCGAGCUCUCAGAUCAGUGUUUGUGCGGCUGCUGAUCAUCUUGACGAGAUUCUGGUGCCAAUUAUGCAGAAAACCUCACAUUCUGUGCAAAACUUUUCAGAGCGCCUUUGAUAUGGAAAUUCAGUAAUUUGACCGCAACGUCUGUCCCGUUGGCCUAAGUCCAUUUGUGUACAGCGCUAAAGCUUCCUGCUUCGAACAAAUUGCUUACGCUGAAGUUGUUAGUAGCUGAGUGGAGCUCCUAAUAUGAUAUUAUUAGGUGGUUUAUUGCAGGAGAGCUUUUUUACCAGUGUUCUGACGCUUUCUGAGCAAGCAAAUGACAAAGACCAAAAGUAUAGCUGAUACAAUUGGCACCAUAAUGUAUAGUAACUGGAGCCGCUUGU